rnacentral:rRNA from 1 species
AAUCCUCAGCCCUUGGCGAUUAGUCGCGGGAGAACGGCGCAGCCGGAUCCAGCCAUGCCGCGGCGUGUGAAGAAGGCCUUAUGGUUGUAAAGCACUUUCAGCGAGGAGGAGGCUACUUUAGUUAAUACCUAGAGAUAGUGAACGUUACUCGCAAAAUAAGCACCGGUUAAUUCUGUGCCAGCAGCCGCGGUAGUACAGAGGGAGCAAGCGUUAAUCGGAUUUAAUGGGCGUAAAGCGCGCGUAGGCGGCUAAUUAAGUCAAAUGUGAAAUCCCCGAGCUUAACUUGGGAAUUGCAUUCAAUACUGGUUAGCUAAAGUGUGGGAAAGGAUGGUACAAUUCCAGGUGUAACGGUGAAAUGCGUAAAGAUCUGGAGGAAUACCGAUGGCGAAGGCAGCCAUCUGGCCUAACACUGACGCUGAGGUGCAAAAGCAUGGGGAGCAAACAGGAUUAGAUGCCCUGGUAGGCCAUGCCGUAAACUAUGUCUACUAGCCUUGGGGCCUUUGAGGCUUUACUGGCGCAUCUAACGCGAUAAGUAAACCGCCUGGGGAGUACGGGCGCAAGACUAAAACUCAAAUGAUUUGACGGGGGCCCGCACAAGCGGAGGAGCAUGUGCUUUAAUUCGAUGCAACGCGAAAAACCUUACCUGGCCUUGACAUAGAAAGAACUUUCCAGAGAUGGAUUGGUGCCUUCGGAAACUUACAUACAGGUGCUGCAUGGCUGUCCUCAGCUCGUGUCGUGAGAUGUUGGGUUAAGUCCCGCAACGAGCGCAACCCUUUUCCUUAUUUGCCAGCGAGUAAUGUCGGGAACUUUAAGGAUACUGCCAGUGACAAACUGGAGGAAGGCGGGGACAACUUCAAGUCAUCAUGGCCCUUACGGCCAGGGCUACACACGUGCUACAAUGGUCGGUACAAAGGGUUGCUACCUAGCGAUAGGAUGCUAAUCUCAAAAAGCCGAUCGUACCCGGAUUGAAGUCUGCCACUCGACUCCAUGAAGUCGGAAUCCCUAGUAAUCGCGAAUCAAAAUGCCGCGGUGAAUACGUUCCCGGGGCAAGUGAUACCCUUGAAUCUCGUUACACCCCCCCGUCACCCCAUGGGGGGCUGGAGUUUGUUGCACCAAAAGUAGCUAGCCUACUGCAAAGAGGCGUUACCCGGCCGCCACCAGUAAGAAACGCCCCGACCCAAGGCCCC